GAUUUCUUUGCAAUGUAACUUUCAAAACAAUGUAGGUUAUGUCAAUCAAACCAAUUGAUUUGAGAUGUCCAGCGAAAAAGAAAAAAAAGUUGUUUCACUCCAUUCAAACACUUUUUUUCAUUUUCAAAAUUAUGUUAACUUCAUGUUAAACUUUGAGAAAAUUUUCACUCACAGAGAGUAGGUCUUGAAGAAAAUUGAUAUAAUUAUUUUAUUCAAGAAGAGGUCUAGAAAUUCAGCAACAAAGUUGAUUAUUGUACAUGUGUAUCAGCUUACUCAAAAUAUAGAAUAGUUUUAAUUUAUAUUGUCAAAUAAGUUAUAUUUUUGUACCUUUUCUUACUUUUGAUGAAUAUGAAAAUUACAUUUAUAAUGUUUUUGUGUGUUUAACCGAUUUUGUUUGCAAUAAUUGCAGUGUUGUUACCUUAAUUUUAUUAGACUUACUAUAUUUAUUUCUGAUCUAACAUACACACAAAAUCUAUUGUAAUUGUUUCUGAUAGUUAGCUGAUACACAAACUAAACGUAACAACCUAGUUAGACAUUAAUCUCUCGUUAUCUGUAAGUGCAAAUUCUGUUAAUUUCAGAACUUUUGAAAUAUAAGUUAGUUAUUUGAUAGUAAUUUUAGGCUUAAUUUAGACCAGUUGUUUUGUUUGGUACUGCAAUGGCAUAAGUAGUUCACAGUUUGUCACGCUAUCGGCAACACUUCCUGUUUUUUUUUCAACCUGCACCUGAACCAGGAAAAAAACACUACCUGAUCAACAAAUCUCUAGAUACCAAUCAAUAAAACGGUGUAUGCUAUCUGUUUUCCAGGGACACUAGACAUAGAUUGCAUUAAGCUCUAUUGUUUUUCUUGAUAAUGAUUCAACAAAAUUUCUGCAAGUUUGAAAGAUUUGUUGAAGAUUUUAAUCUCUGAAAGAGGUAUUUUAAUAUCAGUUUUUAAAAUGUUAACAAAUCAAUUUCCAUUGUACUUUUUCAACUUUUCCAAAUCGGGGGUGGGGGGAUUUAAAAAGACAUACUGAUUUUUAUGAAUGACAAACAAUAUUUAGCAAUUAAUUUCAGAUUUGUUCAAAUCAGUGUACCUAUCUCCAUGUUUUUAAUGAUUUGUUAGCCUUCGAGAAAGACUGCGAGGGUCGAAACAUCAGUCCAUUUACUAUUUUUUUUGGCAUUGAACAUAGGUCAUUUUGGUUGAUAAGCAGUUUGCAACAGCUAAUUCUAUUUUGUUCUGAUGUUUUUAAUGAUAUAGAUUUUUACAGAGGAAUGCACCUUUUUUGUUGAUUACUUUUUGAUUAUUGGUUGAUUUUUUUGUUGAUCAGAUUUUUGUUGGUUGAUGGGUUUUAGUGUAUGUAGAGUCUAGGUGAUGGCUUAUAGAAUGUGGUACUGUGAAUCAUAUUCGUAGUAGUUUGUUUUCAUUUAAGGAUGGCUUGGGUAAAGUUUGGAUUGGAUCGAACAGAGCAAAGACCCCCAAACAAUUUUUGAAGGAUAAGUUUCAUUCAAAUAGUCGGAGGAAGUACAAAGAAAACAAAAACAGAAACUUGUUUAAAUUGCGGAGACACAAAGAGAAAGUGAAACACAGGUAAGCUGAUAUUGUUUUGAUUCUUUUUACUCAAGGAUUGUGUACACAAAAGUAUCAUUUCUGAAACUAUUUUGGGAGUUUUUUUAAGUCACUCCUACUAAAUAUACCAACACUCAAUUUGCAUUCAUGCUACAAAAGUGUACUACUACUAUUAUGAUUUACUGUAUUAAAUAUGGAAAUACAGUGUAGGUUUUAAGCCGAUUGGCGAUUAAAAGCAAAUGAUUGUCUGUUUCUGAGGGUUGCUGUUUUCAUUUAAACAGGUCCUUGAUUUUGUUUGUAGAGUUCAGUGGUAUCACUGAAAGCUGUCAACAGGAUAUUUGUGGUGAUUUGUGAGGAUGAGGCUUUUAUUGUUCAGAAACAACAGUCAUUUGCCCUAUCUAACGAGAGUAAUAGUGUACCAAGAAUGCCAAAUCAAGAACAGGAUUUUCAGAAAACCACUUCAUCAAACAGGAAUCUGAUUAGAUACCAGGAGAUGAGUGUCCCUGGCGUGUUUGUACCAGGAAAAAACUGCAGGUGUGUGAAAUGUAUGAGGACGAAGAAUAUAUCAUUCGACCAAAUUGCUCCACACCUCUAGUUAUCUUAUCUAAACACACUUCUUGGUUUGGCUUGGUGUAAACUUAUUUUGACAAAACUACCGAUUGUGACAGAGGCUGUGUCUGGCUAUGGCUGGAUGCUCAUGCUCAUGCAUUAAUGUUGCCAUUGCAGCUGAUGCCCUAGCCAUGGACGCCAUUCAUGGACAUAGCCCCCAAAUUCCCUGAUUCAUAACAAAGGAAGGGAUCACGACUGUACUGUCUGCGGAUCCCUUUGAGGAUAUGCUAGGCACAGACUGAAUGUUGACUUUGUGUAAUUUGAGACUAAGUCAACACCGUAUGGAAAUACAAUCAACUUUCUCUGAAGGUUUCCAGUAUCUAGGUACAGUAUGUAUACCAUCAAAUGACCUCUUUCUAUUGAUCCAGUUCACUUGCCAUCAUCUAUCACAAUAAUCUUGGUUGCGCCAUUUUUGGAGUCGGUGUCCCUGUGCAUUGUAAAAACAAAGUGCACAUUUUAGGCGACAGGGCUUUUACUAGUUACUAUAACUUGUACGUGUAAUUUGACUCCCAAAAUGGCGUACAUGGCAGAGUAGCCAUGGGUGAUGUUGUGCAACAGGUCUAUACCUUAUAUUGACUUCACUGAUUUAAAAGCAUGAUCAUGAAUUCCAUUCCAGUGUGAUAAACCAUUUCCAAUUGUAUCUGGUGACUUCACAGCCUUGUAUGCAUACUUCACAUAACUGUGAUUUAGUAACUCUACAAGGAGAACAUCUACAAAAAAAGUAUUUCUCACAAAGCAGUAGACUUGCUGUAGUUGUCGGAUUGAGUAUUGGUUCAUUGAUCUGCUUUUUAACAAGUGUAUUUAAAAAAUGCUGAUAAAGUGUUUGAAGCAUUAUUUCUUGCCAACUUAGUUCUCGUAUUACAACACAUGGAAAAAGUGUCCUCUGUAAAGAGGCGUAACGGAUUCUACUUACUGAAGCAGAAGAAACA